AUUGAACGCUAGCGGGAUGCCUUACACAUGCAAGUAGAACGAGUUGCGAACGGGUGAGUAAUGUCUGGGAAACUGCCCGAUGGAGGGGGAUAACUACUGGAAACGGUAGCUAAUACCGCAUACCAUCGGAUGUGCCCAGAUGGGAUUAGCUAGUAGGUGGGGUAACGGCUCACCUAGGCGACGAUCCCUAGCUGGUCUGAGAGGAUGACCAGCCACACUGGAACUGAGACACGGUCCAGAUUCCUACGGGAGGCAGCAGUGGGGAAUAUUGCACAAUGGGCGCAAGCCUGAUGCAGCCAUGCCGCGUGUAUGAAGAAGGCCUUCGGGUUGUAAAGUACUUUCAGCGAGGAGGCGUUACUCGCAGAAGAAGCACCGGCUAACUCCGUGCCAGCAGCCGCGGUAAUAC
rnacentral:rRNA from 1 species